UUUGCUUAUGAAGUUAGCGGCGGACGGGUGAGUAACACGUGGGUAACCUGCCCAUAAGACUGGGAUAACUCCGGGAAACCGGGGCUAAUACCGGAUAACAUUUUGAACCGCAUGGUUCGAAAUUGAAAGGCGGCUUCGGCUGUCACUUAUGGAUGGACCCGCGUCGCAUUAGCUAGUUGGUGAGGUAACGGCUCACCAAGGCAACGAUGCGUAGCCGACCUGAGAGGGUGAUCGGCCACACUGGGACUGAGACACGGCCCAGACUCCUACGGGAGGCAGCAGUAGGGAAUCUUCCGCAAUGGACGAAAGUCUGACGGAGCAACGCCGCGUGAGUGAUGAAGGCUUUCGGGUCGUAAAACUCUGUUGUUAGGGAAGAACAAGUGCUAGUUGAAUAAGCUGGCACCUUGACGGUACCUAACCAGAAAGCCACGGCUAACUACGUGCCAGCAGCCGCGGUAAUACGUAGGUGGCAAGCGUUAUCCGGAAUUAUUGGGCGUAAAGCGCGCGCAGGUGGUUUCUUAAGUCUGAUGUGAAAGCCCACGGCUCAACCGUGGAGGGUCAUUGGAAACUGGGAGACUUGAGUGCAGAAGAGGAAAGUGGAAUUCCAUGUGUAGCGGUGAAAUGCGUAGAGAUAUGGA
rnacentral:rRNA from 1 species